rnacentral:rRNA from 1 species
CCUACGGGAGGCAGCAGUGGGGAAUCUUGCGCAAUGGGCGAAAGCCUGACGCAGCAACGCCGCGUGCGGGAUGAAGGCCUUCGGGUUGUAAACCGCUUUUAACAGGAACGAAAAUGACGGUACCUGUAGAAUAAGGUGCGGCCAACUACGUGCCAGCAGCCGCGGUGACACGUAGGCACCAAGCGUUGUCCGGAUUUAUUGGGCGUAAAGAGCUCGUAGGCGGUUCGAUAAGUCGGGUGUGAAAACUCUGGGCUUAACCCAGAGACGCCACUCGAUACUAUUGUGACUAGAGUUCGGUAGGGGAGCGGGGAAUUCCUAGUGUAGCGGUGAAAUGCGCAGAUAUUAGGAGGAACACCGGUGGCGAAGGCGCCGCUCUGGGCCGAAACUGACGCUGAGGAGCGAAAGCGUGGGUAGCAAACAGGAUUAGAUACCCUGGUAGUCCACGCCGUAAACGGUGGGCACUAGGUGUGGGCGUCCACCAACGACGUCGCGCCGUCGCUACGACAUAAGUAGCCCGCCGUCGGGUAGGUACGGUCCGGCCGAAGGUUAAACGUACAACUAGAAUUAGUACGGCGUGAGACGUGCCGACGGCGACGACGAGGGAGAGG